UAGGGAAUCUUCGGCAAUGGACGAAAGUCUGACCGAGCAACGCCGCGUGAGUGAAGAAGGUUUUCGGAUCGUAAAACUCUGUUGUUAGAGAAGAACAAGGACGUUAGUAACUGAACGUCCCCUGACGGUAUCUAACCAGAAAGCCACGGCUAACUACGUGCCAGCAGCCGCGGUAAUACGUAGGUGGCAAGCGUUGUCCGGAUUUAUUGGGCGUAAAGCGAGCGCAGGCGGUUUCUUAAGUCUGAUGUGAAAGCCCCCGGCUCAACCGGGGAGGGUCAUUGGAAACUGGGAGAGUGGAGUGCAGAAGAGGAGAGUGGAAUUCCAUGUGUAGCGGUGAAAUGCGUAGAUAUAUGGAGGAACACGAGUGGCGAAGGCGGCGCUCUGGGCUGUAACUGACGCUGAGGCUCGAAAGGGUGGGGAGCAAACAGG
rnacentral:rRNA from 1 species